AGACGUGUGCAGAGGUGGAAAAUGGCAGUUGCCCGCAGCGCGUUCCCAGCGGAGGUCGAGCCAGGUGACGCUCUGCCUUCCUGCUUCAAGCUCGUCCCAUAAGCAGGGGUGCCUUCUGCAGUCUGUGCAGUACCGCAUAUUUCCCCAUCUGUGUGCUUUCUGUUGGUGGUUUUGCUGUUUGAAAUGGCCCCGAAGCGUGGUGCUGCCGUGCUGUUUUGUGUUCCUCAGCCCAGAAGGCCCGGCUGUGCCCUACGGAGAAAACCGUGUGUUAGGCAGCUUCAUCCAGGCGUGAGUUAUGGUGCCGUUGGCCGGGAGCCCAACGUUAAUGAGCCAACGAUAGAUAUUAAAUAAGAGAACUUUCUGCUAGCUCUCUAAAGGAAUGAAAAUAACCUUGGGUUCUCACUAAGCAUCAAUUCUGUGACUGGCUCUGUGGGGUAGAGAUGAAAAGGCUCACUCAGUUCCAGCCCCUGCAGAUCCCCCAGGACCCUGGCAGCAGCAGAUCUAUGAGCCCACAUUUCCCCCUGCUUGUGAGGAUCACACCAAGAGAGACAUUCACAUCCUGGCCUCACAAAGAAGAGAUGGCAAAGUGGAAAAAGGCCGGAGUCCCCAACCCUGAGCCCUUUACCCUGUCUCAGUCUUUUAUAACGAGGUGUGUGUGCUUGGGCAAUGCCUCUCUCUUCUGGGACUCAGUGUACCCAUCUCUGCUGUGGGGAGGUUGGACUAGAUGAGAGUUUCCCAAACUCCAGUUGUUUCUUUCCCUCCCUCCACACCUGGAGAUCAGAACACCUGUACUAAAAAGUACUGAAAAUCUUUAUUCAAAUGAGCUCACUUUUUUUCAACCAAAAUAAACUUAUUUUAGAGUGAAA
rnacentral:lncRNA from 1 species